UGGAACAGCUUGUUCUGCUCUCAAACUGCUCAAGCAAAGAGAAAUGGGAGCUGCAGUGGGGUGUGAGGAUGUAACUCUUUUCUCCAGCUAUCUCCAGGCCACCCACCCUCACUGAGCUCUUGGAUGCAGCCUUGAAAAUGGAUGCAUGUGCCAAAAAGCAUCAAGCAAGAACAGGAUCCUUACUGCUGAAUAAAGCAUUAAAUGAGCACUCCAUGUCCAAUUCUGGCAUCCACUCAUUUUAACACAGAUGGCAACAAGAUUGUUGCAAUGUGACGUCUUUGCAGUCUGUGUACAUGCCAGCAUGAGGCAGAAUUCAGAGCACGGGAACAUGAAGGCAGAUGCACUUGAAUCACAAAUAUGGUUACACAGAAAUUCAGCAUUAAGUUUCAACUUCAUUGUCCCACCCUCAGGAAACUUACCAAACAUGCUGUUAUGUUGAAGCACAUGGAAUUCCUGGUAAUGAAUAUUCUCUUCAUGACAUUUACACAGGAGGACUGUUCUCAUUUAAUUACAUUGCUAAUUUGCAAAAAUUGCUGACCUACCCUGGCAUGAUAAAAAGCUCUCUUUGGUAGAAUACCUUCAAAUAUAUCUGAAAAAUUAUUAUAGAGCAUUUAUACCGAUUCUGACAUAUUUUGUUAUAACAAUAACACGAUAUUAUUGCAAAAAACCUAAGAUUAUAAUAGAUUACAUGAGGUGACCAAAAAAACCUUCACCACUUGUUGGAUUUUAUGUAAUGCUUAACUUCUAAAACCAAACAGCAAAUGGUUGUGUCAUGUAACAGGCCAAAUGUGUGGUAGAAAUUGACUUUGCCUCAAUUCUUUCCGUGAUGAAUGAACAUUCUGUUCUCAGAAAUAAUUGCUUGGAUGAAAAGGUCGCACACAUCAGCCGUGGAGUGCAAAUGGUUACUCCCCAAAUCCUUGUUAAGCUAAUUUCAUAGGAAGCAGGAAUUUGUGUUGGUGUUUCUGAAUGCUGUAUAAAGCCCAGUGUUCAGAAGAAACCAUUCAGUAGUCCCAAAGUGUGGCACUGUUUAAAAUCAGUUAACACUUGCAGACAAAAUUCCAUAACCGCCCAACACGGCACAAUCGGUUGAUAUAUGGUUAGAUAUUAAUUAGCAAGGGGCAGAUAAAAAUGUUGACUUUCACGUACUUCUGGAAGCAUCAAAAUUUUCAACAAACAAUGAGAACAAUAAGCUAUGUUGUAUCAAAGGUCAUGCAUGUGAUGCCAUAGAGGGGUCAUGUAAUUAUUGAGAUAGCUACAUGCAUUCCUUCUAAACAAAUUGUAAUUUGUUUCUGAAAAACAAAUGUGGAGAAAAAAUACAAGAUCCAGGGAACUUGUGUCUGGAUAAAUUGAUAACUUAAUUAAAAUUAUUAAUUUGAUUAAAUCAACCUGUGGAAUUUAGUGCCAUUUGAG